rnacentral:rRNA from 1 species
UACGGGGGGGGCAAGCGUUGUUCGGAAUUACUGGGCGUAAAGGGCUCGUAGGUGGCCAACUAAGUCAGACGUGAAAUCCCUCGGCUUAACCGGGGAACUGCGUCUGAUACUGGAUGGCUUGAGUUCGGGAGAGGGAUGCGGAAUUCCAGGUGUAGCGGUGGAAUGCGUAGAGAUCGGGAAGAACAUCGGUGGCGAAGGCGGCCAGCUGGGCCAUUGCUGACGCUGAGGCGCGACAGCGUGGGGAGCAAACAGG